rnacentral:rRNA from 1 species
UUGGAGGGCAAGUCUGGUGCCAGCAGCCGCGGUAAUUCCAGCUCCAAUAGCGUAUAUUAAAGUUGUUGCAGUUAAAAAGCUCGUAGUUGAACCUCGGGGUCUACCCAUUGGUCAGGCUUAAUUGUCUGCACUGGUGAGAUGGAUCUCUACCUUCUGAGGAACUUUCAUGCCAUUUAUUUGGUGUGAUGGGAAAUCAGGACUGUUACUUUGAAAAAAUUAGAGUGUUUAAAGCAGACUAUCGUCUGAAUACAUUAGCAUGGAAUAAUGAAAUAGGACGGACUGAUUCUAUUUCGUUGGUUUCUAGGUUCACCGUAAUGAUUAAUAGGGAUAGUUGGGGGCAUUAGUAUUCAAUUGUCAGAGGUGAAAUUCUUGGACUUAUUGAAGACUAACUACUGCGAAAGCAUUUGCCAAGGAUGUUUUCAUUAAUCAAGAACGAAAGUUAGGGGAUCGAAGACGAUCAGAUACCGUCGUAGUCUUAACCAUAAACUAUGCCGACUAGGGAUCGGACGAAGUUAAUUUUAUAAUGACGCGUUCGGCGCCUUACGGGAAAC